UGCCCUCCAGAGCUCUGCAACGAUCAUACACCCUUACCCCACCACCUAGAUCCUUAAGAACUGCCUAGGGGAAACUGAGGCACCCCCACACGAUUCAGAGGAAACAUGAAGUCCCGCUUCAUCACAGAUGACUCCAGGAGGUGAGUUGCUUGCUAUCCUACCAUGUUUUUCUCUGUCUCUCCUCUAGUAUGUUGGCCAUCACACACACUCUGUCUCUGUCUCUGUCUCUCUCUCUCUGUCCUUGCCUUUCCCUGUGCUGUCUCCCUUCACAGGACACGGGCAGGCACGCUAGGUGUGCAUCCCCGCAGGCUAUGUCUCGGAAGCCAAGAAGCAGUAGGAGGGGACGAAAAUCAUGCAGGGCAGUGGGUGCGAGAGUGGAGCGGUGACUGUCGGUGUUAACUCCGUCUCUGUUCCUCGAGUGGGGCCGAUGUGGAUGGGAUGAAAGAGUGAGGCAGGGCUGAGGGCAAGAUUUCCAGCACCCAUCGAGCUUUGUGGAGUGAUGGCUCAUGCUUGGCUUUUGCAGCUGCUUUCGCAGAGGAAUUGUCCAGGAGCCCUAGCCGGAGGAGAAUAUGGCAGGAGUGGACCUGAGCAGCUUGGACAUCCUUCUAAGCAGACGUGAAGAGUCGUCAGCUUUCUGCCUCCCGCAUAACUGGCUGUGAGUAAGCGUACGAAGGAAAAAGAAGUCAAGCCUCAGAGUCUACUGCCCUCAUGCGAUGGAAAGUGAGUGAGAGCAGCGAGCCUGUGACCGUUGGUGAUGCCAGGCAAGAGCCCUCCAUCUGGGAGCCGAGCAAGCGCCAGUCUUGGUGAGAUAAGUGUCUGGUUUGGUGAGGGCUCUCUUCACGCCCCACCUGAGUCCAGGUAGAAAAGCCCUGUAAAUUAGGGUUCGGUUUGUAAGAAAAGGUUCCUGAUCAGCUGUGGUUACGAGGGAGAAAACAUCCCCAUUUUCAGAAGCUGCUCAUUUCUCUGGUCAAGAACGGUGUCUCCUCCACAGCAGAAGGUUGGAUCCAAGAGGAUGACUCCAGGUGCAAAGAGUGUUCGGCGUCAGCAUUCUUGCCCUGCCCUCAGUCUGCCAACUGGCUUGGUUGACAACGGCUGGUGAGCCAAGGAGCUGCUGAGAGACGCGGACCAUCCCUCUGUCAACAACUUCUUGAAUCAGCUAUUUCCACAGGUGUUUGAGGAA